rnacentral:rRNA from 1 species
AACGAACGCUGGCGGCAUGCCUAACACAUGCAAGUCGAACGAGACCUUCGGGUCUAGUGGCGCACGGGUGCGUAACGCGUGGGAAUCUGCCCUUAGGUACGGAAUAACAGUGAGAAAUUACUGCUAAUACCGUAUGAUGUCUUCGGACCAAAGAUUUAUCGCCUAGGGAUGAGCCCGCGUUGGAUUAGCUAGUUGGUGGGGUAAAGGCCUACCAAGGCGACGAUCCAUAGCUGGCUGAGAGGAUGAUCAGCCACACUGGGACUGAGACACGGCCCAGACUCCUACGGGAGGCAGCAGUGGGGAAUAUUGGACAAUGGACGCAAGUCUGAUCCAGCGACGCCGCGUGGGUGAUGAAGGCC